rnacentral:lncRNA from 1 species
UUUUUUUUCAAAACAAACUCUCUCUCUCUCUCUCUCUCUCUCUCUCUCUCUCUCUAAUCCAGGCAAAACAAAAUCACUCUCUUAGUCUCUCUAACCCUCGAUGAAGACUCCUCCAUCUCACCGGUUCAGAUUUAGGAAGACGUUGGCAUCACAAUGACACUAUCUCUCUCUCUCUCUAACCCUGAAUUCAAUCUUCGUACCUCGAACGAAGAAAUCUAGGAAAACGGGGAAGACGAAGGCAACCUUGGGGUUAAGAUCUUCAAAUCUGAUAUCCAUUGUAUAUUUUAUUUUAAUAUUAGUAUUUGUGUCUGCAAUCUAGAUCUCCACAAAUAUAAAAGAAACGUGGUGUAUUUGUGAGGUACAAUAUCGAUCUGCUUCAAAUUUGACAUGUGCAUUGUAGGCUGGAGAUUUAAUGUUAGCCGAGGUGUAUUUUGUGAACCUAGACCCAACGUCUUAAUCAUCCGUCAGUCCCCUGUUUUUGCAAUGAACAGAAUUUGAAUGAUUUCGUCAAUUUGUAAUUACGUUUUGUUUUCAAAUUUUGUAUGAUUAGGUGUGAUAUUCAUACGAGAAAAUGUGAGAUGAUGCUGAAUUUUUUGUUUCAAAUUUUGCUAUGAAUUUUUAACUUUUUUAUAUGCACAGAAGAUAUUUAGAUAAGAUGAUACUGAAAUGAUU